rnacentral:ncRNA from 1 species
GACGGAUAAGGCGUUUACGCCGCAUCCGGCUACGAUUCCAAUGCCUGAUGCGACGCUUGCCGCGUCUUAUCAGGCC